rnacentral:rRNA from 1 species
UGAGGCGGAGCUAAUCCCUUAAAGCCAUUCUCAGUUCGGAUUGUAGGCUGAAACUCGCCUACAUGAAGCUGGAGUUACUAGUAAUCGCAGAUCAGAAUGCUGCGGUGAAUGCGUUCCCGGGUCUUGUACACACCGCCCGUCACACCACGGAAGUUGGGGGCGCCCGAAGCCACUUAGCUAACCCUUUUGGGAAGCGAGUGUCGAAGGUGAAAUCAAUAACUGGGGUGAAGUCGUAACAAGGUAUC